rnacentral:rRNA from 1 species
AAACUAACAAGGAUUCCCCUAGUAACGGCGAGUGAAGCGGGAAGAGCUCAAAUUUGAAAUCUGGUGGCCUCAGGUCAUCCGAGUUGUAAUCUAUAGAAGUGUUUUCCGUGCUGGCUCAUGUACAAGUCCCUUGGAACAGGGCGUCAUAGAGGGUGAGAAUCCCGUCCUUGACAUGAACUACCAGUGCUCUGUGAUACAUUUUCAACGAGUCGAGUUGUUUGGGAAUGCAGCUCAAAAUGGGUGGUAAAUUCCAUCUAAAGCUAAAUAUUGGCGAGAGACCGAUAGCGAACAAGUACCGUGAGGGAAAGAUGAAAAGCACUUUGGAAAGAGAGUUAAACAGUAUGUGAAAUUGUUGAAAGGGAAACGAUUGAAGUCAGUCGUGCUCUUUGGAUUCAGCCGGUUCUGCCGGUGUACUUCCUUUGAGUGGGGUCAACAUCAGUUUUGAUCGCUGGAUAAAGGCGGGAGGAAUGUAGUACCCUCGGGUAAACUUAUAGCCUCUUGUCACAUACAGUGGUUGGGACUGAGGAACGCAGCAUGCCUUUAUGGCCGGGAUUCGUCCACGUACAUGCUUAGGAUGUUGACAUAAUGGCUUUAAACGAC